rnacentral:rRNA from 1 species
UACGUAGGGGGCAAGCGUUGUCCGGAAUCAUUGGGCGUAAAGAGCGUGUAGGCGGCUCGGUAAGUCCGCUCUGAAAGCCCGGGGGCUCAACCCCGGGAGGCGGGCGGAUACUGUCGGGCUAGAGUCCGGAAGAGGCGAGUGGAAUUCCUGGUGUAGCGGUGAAAUGCGCAGAUAUCAGGAGGAACACCAAUGGCGAAGGCAGCUCGCUGGGACGGUACUGACGCUGAGACGCGAAAGCG